rnacentral:rRNA from 4 species
AACUUUCAGCAACGGAUCUCUUGGCUCUCGCAUCGAUGAAGAACGCAGCGAAAUGCGAUAAGUAAUGUGAAUUGCAGAAUUCAGUGAAUCAUCGAAUCUUUGAACGCACCUUGCGCUCCUUGGUAUUCCGAGGAGCACACCUGUUUGAGUGUCG